UACGUAGGGCGCAAGCGUUGUCCGGAAUUAUUGGGCGUAAAGAGCUCGUAGGUGGCGUGUCGCGUCUGCCGUGAAAGCCCAUGGCUUAACUGUGGGUCUGCGGUGGAUACGGGCAGGCUGGAGGCUGGUAGGGGCAAGCGGAAUUCCUGGUGUAGCGGUGAAAUGCGCAGAUAUCAGGAGGAACACCGGUGGCGAAGGCGGCUUGCUGGUCCAGCACCGACGUUCAGGCACGAAAGCGUGGGGAGCAAACAGG
rnacentral:rRNA from 1 species